CCAUGGCAAGUCCGAGCGGAGAGAGGUAGCUUGCUACUGAUCUUAGCGGCGGACGGGUGAGUAAUGCUUAGGAAUCUGCCUAUUAGUGGGGGACAACAUUUCGAAAGGAAUGCUAAUACCGCAUACGUCCUACGGGAGAAAGCAGGGGAUCUUCGGACCUUGCGCUAAUAGAUGAGCCUAAGUCGGAUUAGCUAGUUGGUGGGGUAAAGGCCUACCAAGGCGACGAUCUGUAGCGGGUCUGAGAGGAUGAUCCGCCACACUGGGACUGAGACACGGCCCAGACUCCUACGGGAGGCAGCAGUGGGGAAUAUUGGACAAUGGGCGCAAGCCUGAUCCAGCCAUGCCGCGUGUGUGAAGAAGGCCUUAUGGUUGUAAAGCACUUUAAGCGAGGAGGAGGCUACUUUAGUUAAUACCUAGAGAUAGUGGACGUUACUCGCAGAAUAAGCACCGGCUAACUCUGUGCCAGCAGCCGCGGUAAUACAGAGGGUGCAAGCGUUAAUCGGAUUUACUGGGCGUAAAGCGCGCGUAGGCGGCUAAUUAAGUCAAAUGUGAAAUCCCCGAGCUUAACUUGGGAAUUGCAUUCGAUACUGGUUAGCUAGAGUGUGGGAGAGGAUGGUAGAAUUCCAGGUGUAGCGGUGAAAUGCGUAGAGAUCUGGAGGAAUACCGAUGGCGAAGGCAGCCAUCUGGCCUAACACUGACGCUGAGGUGCGAAAGCAUGGGGAGCAAACAGGAUUAGUACCUUGGUGGGUCCAUAAA
rnacentral:rRNA from 1 species